rnacentral:rRNA from 1 species
CAUUACCGGGGAAGCUUUACACAUGCAAGUCGAACGGUCUCUUCGGAGAUAGCCGCGCGGACGGGUGAGUAACGCGUGAGAAUCUAGCUUCAGGUCGGGGACAACCACUGGAAACGGUGGCUAAUACCGGAUGUGCCGAAAGGUGAAAGAUUUAUUGCCUGAAGAUGAGCUCGCGUCUGAUUAGCUAGUUGGUGUGGUAAGAGCGCACCAAGGCGACGAUCAGUAGCUGGUCUGAGAGGAUGAUCAGCCACACUGGGACUGAGACACGGCCCAGACUCCUACGGGAGGCAGCAGUGGGGAAUUUUCCGCAAUGGGCGAAAGCCUGACGGAGCAAUACCGCGUGAGGGAGGAAGGCUCUUGGGUUGUAAACCUCUUUUCUCAGGGAAUAAAAAAAUGAAGGUACCUGAGGAAUAAGCAUCGGCUAACUCCGUGCCAGCAGCCGCGGUAAUACGGAGGAUGCAAGCGUUAUCCGGAAUGAUUGGGCGUAAAGCGUCCGCAGGUGGCACUGUAAGUCUGCUGUUAAAGAGCAAGGCUCAACCUUGUAAAGGCAGUGGAAACUACAGAGCUAGAGUACGUUCGGGGCAGAGGGAAUUCCUGGUGUAGCGGUGAAAUGCGUAGAAAUAA